rnacentral:rRNA from 1 species
CACGGGGGGAGCAAGCGUUGUUCGGAAUCACUGGGCGUAAAGGGCGUGUAGGCGGUCAAGUAAGUGGAAUGUGAAAGCCCCCCGGCUCACCCGGGGAUCUGCAUCCCAAACUGCUUGGCUUGAGUACGGGAGAGGAUAGGGGAAUUCCUGGUGUAGCGGUGAAAUGCGUAGAUAUCAGGAGGAACACCGGUGGCGAAGGCGACCUAUCUGGCCCGAUACUGACGCUGAGGUGCGAAAGCGUGGGGAGCAAACAGG